rnacentral:rRNA from 1 species
CCUACGGGAGGCAGCAGUGGGGAAUUUUGCGCAAUGGGGGGAACCCUGAUCCAGCAACGCCGCGUGAAUGAUGAAGGCUUUCGGGUCGUAAAGCUCUGUCGGACGGGAAGAAAACGAAUACGGUUAAUACCCGUUUUCCUUGACGGUACCCUCAGAGGAAGCACCG